GCCAGGCAUGGUGGCUCAUGCCUGUAAUCCCAGUGGCUCGGGAGGCUGAGGCAAGAGGAUACCAAGUCAAAGUCACCCUUUUGAGACCCUGUUUCAAAGUAAAAAAUACAAAAAGACUGGGGGUGGUGGUGGUGGCGCUGGGGUUGUGGCUCAAGUGGUAGAGCGCUUGCCUCAC
rnacentral:sRNA from 1 species